GAUCCUGGCUCAGGAUGAACGCUAGCUACAGGCUUAACACAUGCAAGUCGAGGGGCAGCAUGAACUUUAGCUUGCUAAGUUUGAUGGCGACCGGCGCACGGGUGAGUAACACGUAUCCAACCUUCCGUUUACUCAGGGAUAGCCUUUCGAAAGAAAGAUUAAUACCUGAUAGUAUGGUGAGAUUGCAUGAUAACACCAUUAAAGAUUUAUUGGUUAUCGAUGGGGAUGCGUUCCAUUAGUUUGUUGGCGGGGUUAACGGCCCACCAAGACUACGAUGGAUAGGGGUUCUGAGAGGAAGGUCCCCCACAUUGGAACUGAGACACGGUCCAAACUCCUACGGGAGGCAGCAGUGAGGAAUAUUGGUCAAUGGACGAGAGUCUGAACCAGCCAAGUAGCGUGAAGGAUGACUGCCCUAUGGGUUGUAAACUUCUUUUAUAUGGGAAUAAAGUAUUCCACGUGUGGGAUUUUGUAUGUACCAUAUGAAUAAGGAUCGGCUAACUCCGUG
rnacentral:rRNA from 1 species